UGAACAGCUCUUCAGAGCCCCCGCAUGUCCCCUAGCAGACAGGGGCUGGGAUUACAUGCUUGCCUCUCA